ensembl:ncRNA F58E6.16 ncRNA
AAUGCACUAUUUUUGCAACACAAAACAAGUGGGCGGAGUUCGUCUGCGCUUCACCACGUCUUCGCACUGUCGCCGCCCGUUCCACUGCUUUAACCAAAAGCAGAGGCUGAAGCUGCGCAUUUC